CAUUGAAGCACCAGUUCCCGUACGAUCACCGAAGUUAAGCAAUGUCGAGCUUAGCAAGUACCUAGAUGGGUGACCGCUUGACAAUAUCAGCUGCUGA